UACGAGGGGGGCAAGCGUUGUUCGGAAUUAUUGGGCGUAAAGGGUGCGUAGGCGGUUUGGUAAGUCUUAUGUGAAAUCUAUGGGCUCAACUCAUAGUCUGCAUGAGAAACUGCCGGGCUUGAGUAUGGGAGAGGUGAGUGGAAUUCCUGGUGUAGCGGUGAAAUGCGUAGAUAUCAGGAGGAACACCUGUGGCGAAAGCGGCUCACUGGACCAUAACUGACGCUGAUGCACGAAAGCUAGGGGAGCAAACAGG
rnacentral:rRNA from 1 species